rnacentral:rRNA from 1 species
UACAGAGGUCUCAAGCGAUUGUUCGGAUUCAUUGGGCGUAAAGGGUGCGUAGGCGGCGCGGUAAGUCGGGUGUGAAAUCUUGGAGCUUAACUCCGAAACUGCAUUCGAUACUGCCGUGCUUGAGGACUGGAGAGGAGACUGGAAUUUACGGUGUAGCGGUGAAAUGCGUAGAUAUCGUAAGGAAGACCAGUGGCGAAGGCGGGUCUCUGGACAGUUCCUGACGCUGAGGCACGAAGGCCAGGGGAGCAAACGGG